AGUAGUCAUAUGCUUGUCUCAAAGAUUAAGCCAUGCAUGUCUCAGUGCAAGCUAAAUUAAAGUGAAACCGCGAAUGGCUCAUUAAAUCAGUUAUGGUUCCUUGGAUCCUACCAAUCCUACUUGGACAACUGUGGUAAUUCUAGAGCUAAUACAUGCACCCAGAGCCCCGUCCAGAAAUGGUCGGGGCGCAGUUAUUAGAUCAAAACCAAUCGGUCGGGCUCGCCCGUCCGUAGUUUUGGUGACUCGGAAUAACCACGGCUGAUCGCACGGCCUCGCGCCGGCGACGUAUCCUUCGAAUGUCUGCCUUAUCAACUGUCGAUGGUAGGUUCUGCGCCUACCAUGGUUGUAACGGGUAACGGGGAAUCAGGGUUCGAUUCCGGAGAGGGAGCCUGAGAAACGGCUACCACAUCCAAGGAAGGCAGCAGGCGCGCAAAUUACCCACUCCCGGCACGGGGAGGUAGUGACGAAAAAUAACGAUACGGGACUCAUCCGAGGCCCCGUAAUCGGAAUGAGAACACUUUAAAUCUUUUAACGAGUACCUAAUGGAGGGCAAGUCUGGUGCCAGCAGCCGCGGUAAUUCCAGCUCCAUUGGCGUAUAUUAAGU
rnacentral:rRNA from 1 species